rnacentral:lncRNA from 1 species
UUUUCUACGAUACUCCUAAGCGAAGGAUCACCAUAAUCAUAAUGCUCUUCAUGAACGGCGUCAUGGAUUCGGCGUGAACAAAGGCGGUUCGUGGAUUCGGAUCGUUGGCUCGUGGAUUCGAGUGGCGUCAUGAAUUCGGCGUGAUUGAAGCUUCGUGGAUUCGAAGUGGAGGCGUUCGUGGACUCGAACGUGAGGGUGUGGACAACCCGGAGGGUAGCGCGAAGAUUCAUAGGAGGUUAAGAGAGGUUGAGUCCGUGGAGUCGGUAAUCACCUUGUAAUCUUUUCUCUUAGUGAAUUAUUUUUUCGCGUGUUGGUUCCGUGGGUUUUUCUCCAAGUUGGAGUUUUCCCACGUAAAUCUCAGUGUGCUUUUUAUUUUUCGCAUUUAUUUUUAUUGCAUCGAGAUUUAUGGUUUUUUGCCGUUUCACCUAUUCACCCCCCUUUAGGUGAUAGAUACAAUUUAGAUAGAUCCUUGGGCUCCUCAAAACUUUCACAUGGUUCCCAGUGGAU